UACGGGGGGGGCAAGCGUUGUUCGGAAUUACUGGGCGUAAAGCGUGCGUAGGCGGUUCGCUAAGUCGGUUGUGAAAUCCCUGGGCUUAACCUGGGAACUGCAGUCGAUACUGGCGGACUAGAGUACGGUAGAGGGUGGCGGAACUCCGGGUGUAGCGGUGAAAUGCGUAGAUAUCCGGAAGAACACCGAUGGCGAAGGCAACCACCUGGGCCUGUACUGACGCUGAGGUACGAAAGCGUGGGGAGCAAACAGG
rnacentral:rRNA from 1 species